UACGGGGGGGGCAAGCGUUGUUCGGAAUUACUGGGCGUAAAGGGUUAGUAGGUGGCCAACUAAGUCAGACGUGAAAUCCCUCAGCUUAACUGGGGAACUGCGUCUGAGACUGAUUGGCUCGAGGACAGGAGAGGAACGCGGAAUUCCAGGUGUAGCGGUGAAAUGCGCAGAUAUCAGGAGGAACACCAGUGGCGAAGGCGGCUCACUGGCCCGGUACUGACGCUGAGGUGCGAAAGCGUGGGGAGCAAACAGG
rnacentral:rRNA from 1 species